CAGGGAGAUGUUUUAAAGAUGAAUCCGAAUUUGGAAGACUUCCAUGAUGAUUACAUUGACUUGCUAAAGGAACCAGCAAAAAAUAAGCAGACAAUAUUCAAUGAAGAAAGGAAUAAGGGGCAGGUGCAGGUGGCAGAUCUUUUGGGCUUCAAUGGAACAGGGGAAGAGCGACUAACACAAGACCUGAAGGUGUCCACUGACAAGGAGGGUGGCGUCCAGGGCCUGCUCCUGCCUGAAGACAUGCUCUCAGGGGAAGAAUAUGAGUGUGUCUCACCUGAUGACAUCUCCUUGCCUCCUCUCCCAGGAAGCCCUGAGUCCCCCCUUGCACCAUCUGACAUGGAGGUGGAAGAGCCUGUCAGCUCCUCCCUCAGCCUUUGCAUAAGCAGCUAUGGGGUGCAGGCUGGGACCAGCAGCCCAGGGGAUGCCCAGGAAUCUGUUCUUCCACCACCUGUUGCCUUUGCGGAUGCAUGCAAUGAUAAGAGAGAAACAUUUUCAAGUCAUUUUGAGAGGCCUUACCUCCAGUUCAAAGCUGAGCCCCCACUAACCUCCAGAGGAUUCAUGGAAAAGAGUACUGCCUUACACAGAAUCAGUGCUGAACAUCCAGAGAGCAUGAUGAGUGAAGUGCAUGAGAGAGCUUUACAGCAGCACCCUCAGGCUCAGGGCGGUUUGCUAGAAACACGGGAGAAAAUGCAUGCUGAUAAUAACUUCACUAAAACCCAAGAUAGGCUGCAUGCUUCCUCUGAUGCAUUCUCGGGCCUCAGGUUUCAAUCAGGCACCAGCAGGGGCUAUCAGAGGCAAAUGGUUCCUCGAGAAGAGAUUAAAAGCACAUCAGCAAAGAGCAGUGUGGUCAGCCUAGCUGACCAGGCACCUAAUUUCUCCAGGCUCCUGUCUAAUGUAACUGUCAUGGAAGGUUCUCCAGUGACUUUGGAAGUUGAAGUAACAGGAUUUCCAGAGCCUACACUGACAUGGUACAAGAAGGGCCAGAAACUGUCUGCAGAUGGGCACUUACAGGUUUUACAGGAGACAAGGCAUUCGGUGUUCAUUCCAAAGGUAUGCAAGGCAGACGCAGGCCUCUAUGUGGCUCGGGCCCAAAACUCUAGCGGCGCUCUCUCUUCCAAUGUCAUCCUCCACGUGACAGGUAACUGCAGGCUGCCAAUCACAAGAGUAAACUGGAUAACCCUGUGUGUCGUCUAUGUUAGUGUGUCCCUAAUGUACUGGCUCCUCACACAAUAACUGUGGUGUUGGCACCAAUGGACAUCAUUCUCAUGUGCCUAAAGAAAAGUGCCGCUGUUUAUCUUCCUGCACCUCCUGCAAAGCAUCUCCCACCAAGUGUAUCUCCAGUCUCAUCACCAUACUUGUUUGGCUAAUACCACUGCUAGGUGAAAUAAUCAAAUUUUCUUGAGUGUUUAAUAUAUUUGAGAAGCUUGGUAAAUUAUCUGUAGUGGAUAAGAACAUAUUUUUGUACUCUAGAAAGAGAUGUUUUCAACAUAAUAUGCAGCAAAAUUAUUCUAUGCCUAUUCCCUCCUAAUUUAAGGGUGUGCAGAUGAAGGCUGACAUCGGCAUAGAGAUGUGCUAAAUUUCAAAUACGGUUGUUCAAUAAUAUAUUUUUAAUUGUAUUUUAAAACAUCCCUUUGUAGGGAAUAUCAGUAGAACUAUUGAAUUGAUGUUGUAUUUUUGCAUUAGCUGUCCUUUAAUUUUGCUUUCCAUGUCUUGAUCUUGUUACCGAAAUGCAUUCUGUGUAAUUUCAACGUAGACUACGUUCCUGAGUCUGAUGAUGUCGCUGUAAAUAAUCAUUCCUCAUGUUGCUCUCACGGGUUUGACAUUGGAGGAUAGACGUGCCAUCAACUUUAAAUAGAGUUUCCAUAUUUUGUCAGCUCUGCAUGUCAUACGGCAAGAUGGAACACAGGUUGCAAGAAAGAAUCAACGUUAUUCCUGACAUUCUAUUGAUGUAUUUUGAGCAGCAAUGUGUAACCAGGUGUUUCUGCUUCUAAUCUUGAUUCUGCUGAUGACCAUUUUUAUACUUUAUGGCAAAGCAUCUCAUUGCCUCAGUUUCCUGUCUGGAAAAUGAGUUCAUCAUCUACCUCUUGGGCAAUUGAGAGUUUUCAUUUUGUGUCUUUUAAACAUCUGGAAAAUGGAAAACACUGUAUGAGGGCUAAGGAUAAUGAUAUUGUUUAAUGUAAUUUGUCAUCAGACCGGCCUCCUGCUCACUAUUUCUUUUUUUUUAGAUGCUGUUUUUUUAGAAUAUUAAAUUAAAGGAGUGCUGUUAAUAUGUAAUCUUCAACUAGUUCCAUGGAGGAAAGUGAUGUUUUAUGAAUUAGAGCUUAAAUUCCU
rnacentral:sRNA from 1 species